rnacentral:lncRNA from 1 species
GGGCUGUGCGGCCUGUAGCAGCCGACGCGGUGGCAGGUGAAAGCCAAUGGGAGAGGGGCAAGAGGGGCGGCUCGUGGUCAGCCCCCACCGGGGAGCGGGAGCGACGCUCUGCUCCGCCCGAGUGGGCUCCUGGAGAGACUGGGAUAAAGAGUAAUUUUCUCUUGACUCUUCUGUCCGAGGAAGCCUAACCGAGUUCCAGCAGCCUUAAACCCACCCAAAGGCUCACCUGGCUGGCAAGACAGCCUCACGCCUGUAGUUUUUCGCUCAAGAGUGUGGAUUUGUCAGAACAGCUCCCUGCAAGAGGCAGGGAAAGCACUUCUAGCCCCAUUUUCUUCAGAUGACAACGCCAGGGUACAGAGGCACUGAGAAAUCUAUUUCCCCGCUGCAGCAACACCAAGGGCAACGGGAAAGUCGCCAGGUGACCCACGCAGGGUGUGCUGUGACCCGCGUUGAGAGUGAGGAGUGGGAGCCGUCACUGCUGUCCCCGAAGUUCCCUGGGUGUAACACCUGAGCUCCACAGCAGCUGCCCCAGGAAGUCUCGAGGGGACAAGGUGAAGAGCCACCCGACUGGACCCAGCUCCUCCCAAGCCCAGAGAAGGUUAGACAUUCCAGAGAACUUCUAGUCCCAAACAGCAUCUCUCUGCCAGACUCAGCCUUCUGAUCCAAGCAAAAAAAGUAAAAUUGACAAGCUCUUUCUUUCCCCAGAGGCCAAGUUUGUCAUCCAAAAAUAAAUCUAGCUCUCCUGGCAACUGAUCUGUUCAGUUUCAGCCAUAUGCCUCGUCCUCUGGGACUUCUAUUUGUGAGGAGAUAUUUGAGUAGAACCUCAAAUAUUUAGUAUGCGUGAAGAACACCAGUUUCAUAAAUAUAUCUGUGUUCCUGUAUAAUUCGGAGGAGUCCUACCUUGUCUUGUAUUCAGAAUAAUACCUUUCUGUUCAUUUCAACAAGCACCUUAAUGCACAUCCUUCAGUACCUAGGACAAUGUUCACUGUUAUGAGGGACCUUUGGACCCACACCCAGCCCUCUGAGAGGCUGCAAACUAAUUAAGGCAGAGAGCCUUAAUUAGAUACCCAAAGACCACAUUUAAGAGUGCAGCCUGUACUGUGUUUGGCAACUGAGAGAGUGAGGACUCACUACAGACCUAAAGGGCAGUACAGUCUUAUGAAGGUGGGAGAUCCUGAAAAAGGCUCUGGAGCAAAGUGCUCUACAGUGUAAACAUACCUUGAUUUGUGCUUGGGUCACUUAUUACAACAGCUGUGUUUAAGGUCCAAGACUCUUGCCAAAUAUACUACUGAGUGUGGGAACUUGGGACACUGUCUUAAUUACGUUUUUUGUUACUGAGACAAAAUACCUGGCACUGAAAGUUAAAGGAAGAAAGGUUUAUUUCAGCUCUGUCUGUAGAGGUCUCAGUCCAAGGGAGAGCGGCAUGGCAGAGGGACAUCACAGAGGAGAAACAGCACAUGACAAAGCAGGGCAGGCAGAAGGCAGCCAACAGUGAAGUAGCAAGCAGCAAGCAGCAAGGGACAGGCAACAGCCCUCUUUCUAUCUCUUAUAGUCUCUCUGGGCUACAUGCCCUUAAGGUGGAUAACAUUCACACCCAGCAUGGGCCUUCCCAUUUUCCACACUCAGAACUAUGCCAAACCAAUCAGUGGACUAAUUUAAUAAUUACACACCUUUAAUCCCAGCAUCACACACUCUAGAUCUGUCCACCUCUGAAAAAGCCCCACUUAUGACUGCAUGAGGCUCUGGGGAGAGACAUCUAGACACAGCUGUAACAGACACCAAGAAUACUGCAUUCUUUCUAGAUUCGUGUUAUAACCUUAGCAUGUGGCUAAGGUAGGGUUCUCUAGAGAAACAAUCAGGAGAGAGAGAGAGAAAAAUAUAUAUAUAUACAAUUAUUCAAGGAAAUCAUUAAAUAGGCCCUCAGGAUCAGAGACAGGAUGGUCUACAAUGACGAUGUGCACAUUGGAGAGCCAGAAGUUCCCAUAGCUACUCAGUGCACUAAGCUGGAAGCUACAGAACAAGAGGGAUCAAGGAUGCAGUGCCAGUCUAAAACUGAAGGCCUAGAAGCUCCCUGGAAAAUCGCUAGUAGGAAUCCCCAGUGAAAUGCUGAAGAAGAUGCAGUCUGAUGUCUACAGGAGAUGGCAGUAGCAAAAAACAUACUACUCAUUUGAACAGAACGGAGCUUUCUAAAUGCAAGCCAACUUUCUCCUUCCCCUUUUCAUUCUGUCUGGGCCACAAGCCUAUAGGAUUACACCACCCACAGUCAGGAUGGGUCUUCCCUCUUCAGUUUGCUGGCCUACAUGCCAGUCAUCUCGGAAAAUACCCUCCCGCAGACACACCCAGAAGUAUAUUUUCUAAUCUACUCAGCAUUUCUUAAUCCAGCCAAGUUGACAGUCAUGAUUAAAGGUCACAGAAGUUAUUAUUGGUUCUAUUAUGCAAAGGAAGCUUACCCACAGAAGUUAAUCUUAUCAAGACCACACUUUAAAUUUUAAAUCUACAUGACAAAAAUAGAGUGACAAAAAAAUCUAGAAACUUCUCUCUUUUGUAUAAAAAAGACAUAUGAUUUUAAAUCUUCAAUUAAUAUCUUAUUUUCUGUAUCAUCCACUUUCUCUUUAUAAACAGCUACCUACAGGAUUUUUCUAUUCACAAAUGAUGUCAAGUAAAUUUCACACAAAGAUCUAAAAAAAAUAUUGUCAUAUGUCUUUUUAACAAAAUAAAGUGGUCUAGACUUUUGUCCUAAAACAUUCUGUAACUAAAUUCAUCUUGUUGGGUGACUAACUGGAUGAAAAUGCUAUGUUUCCUCUUCUUAAAAACAUAUCUUUUUUAGCACAGCACCUGCUUGGCAAGUGUGAGGUCCUGAGUUCGAUCCCUGAUACAAAAAAAAAAAACAUAUUUUUUAUUCGUUAAUUCUUGGCUGAGGAAAAUCAUCUAGGAUAUUAUUAUAGGAGAACUCAAAGGUAAUAUGUAUGUCAUCAUCUUUUGUCUAGACGCUAUUGUCUCAUG